AUUAAAUUGAUGGACAGGGUGAAAUCAUCCCUUCCUGCCCCAACCAAGGGGACAGAAGAGCCUAAGUCAGAUCCUCCUAAUAUGAAAUCAAAUGUGUCUUGAUUGAGCAUAAGAAGGAGAAAAUGGAAGGUGCAUGGCACAGGGCUGAUGACAGGAAAUCUCUCUCUUGCUCUGUCUCAGGGACUUACUUCCCCAACUUUGCCAGCCACUGAGCUCCUCCAGAGAGGCAGUAGAAAGUCUAUGUACCAGUCAGACAACGAGCCAUCAGUGCUUCAAUGAUUCAAAGCCAUCAAUGCCAGGCACGUGGGUACCAUGUAAACAGCCCCUGUGGUAAUGCACAGUUUGUUCCACCUGGGAGAUGGUGUCUGCUCCUCGAGUCUGCAGCCAGAGUGUUCCAGGCAAUGGAGGCCAAUUACCUUGCACAUCGAGCAAUUUGGGAGUGAUUUCACGCUUCCUGGGUGUACCAAAGCCGUGCCCAGAGAAACCACCCUUCUGGAGCAAAGAUGCUAAGCAUCAAACAGGACUUGAAGUUUCCAGUGUUUAAUUUCCCAUUUAGCCAAGGCAAUUAAAAGCAUCACCAUGUAACGCGGA